AAUACAUAAUUUCUUUCACCUGCCAUUAGAGGAGAAAAGAAAGUUAUGGAUGGAAAAAGGAGAUAUGGAGGGAUUUGGACAACACUUUGUGUUUUCAGAUGACCAGAAACUUGAUUGGUUACAUAAUAGCACUACCAACUAAUAUGAGAAACCCUCGAUUAUUCGCCGGGAUACCACUAGCACUGAGGGAGGCGUUGGAAGCUUACUCCAAGGGAUUAAAAAACCUGACCAUGAUUUUACUAGGAAUUAUUCAAUGAUUGUUUACAGAGAAUGGAUUCUAACGAGAUGGAUGAGUUAUUCAAUGAUUGUUUACAGAGAAUGAGAAUGAAUUACUAUCCUCCGUGUCCAAAGUAACAGGAGGUCAUAGGUUUAUCACCACAUUCAGAUGCUGCUGCUUUGGCGAUUGUCCUUCAGCUUAACGAAACAGAUGGUCUUCAGAUUCGUAAAGAUGGAAAAUGGGUUCCUGUAAAACCCAUCCCUGCUGCACUUAUAGUCAAUAUCGGAGACAUGAUUGAGAUGAGCAAUGGUGCCUAUAAAAAUAUAUAGAGCACAGGGUAAUUGUGAAUCCAACAAUAGAGAGGCUUUCACUUGCCACAUUCCAUUCAGUCAAUCCAGAUGCAGAAUUUGGCCCAGCACUUAGUUUGAUUGAUCUUCCAC